GCUUACCAUGCAGUCGAACGAUACCCUGGGGCUUGCUCCAGGGAUAAGUGGCGCACGGGUGAGUAAUACGUAGGUAAUGUUCCCGUUGGUUUGGAAUAACCUGCCGAAAGGCGGGCUAAUACCUUAUAAGUUCCCUUGGAGCUCGCUCUGGGGGAAGAAAGCAGGGCAACUUGCGCCGACGGAUCAGCCUGCGUCCCAUCAGCUAGUUGGUGAGGUAACGGCUCACCAAGGCUACGACGGGUAGCUGGUCUGAGAGGAUGAUCAGCCACACUGGGACUGAGACACGGCCCAGACUCCUACGGGAGGCAGCAGUGGGGAAUAUUGGACAAUGGGCGCAAGCCUGAUCCAGCAAUGCCGCGUGAGUGAUGAAGGCCUUCGGGUUGUAAAGCUCUGUCGGGAGGGACGAAAAAACGGAUUAACAAACCGUAUUGACGGUACCUUCAAAGGAAGCACCGGCUAACUCUGUGCCAGCAGCCGCGGUAAUACAGAGGGUGCAAGCGUUGUUCGGAAUUACUGGGCGUAAAGCGCGUGUAGGCGGCGAUGUAAGUCGGAUGUGAAAGCCCUCGGCUCAACCGAGGAAGUGCAUCCGAUACUGCUUUGCUUGAGUACCGGAGGGGAUGGCGGAAUUCCCGGUGUAGAGGUGAAAUUCGUAGAUAUCGGGAGGAACACCUGUGGCGAAGGCGGCCAUCUGGACGGUAACUGACGCUGAGGCGCGAAAGCGUGGGUAGCAAACAGGAUUAGAUACCCUGGUAGUCCACGCUGUAAACGAUGAGUGCUAGAC
rnacentral:rRNA from 1 species